AAAAAAACGCCCUAGUGCAGCAAAAAUAAAAAUUGCACAAACAGCGUAUCAUUACAAAUUCGUACUAUUUCAAACCGACAGAUACAGAAUCUCCGGCAUGUAUACGCCGUAAGAAUAGACGGAAAACGAGAAGGCUACGACGGUCAGAUACCUAUGCCGACAGCAGACGGCGGAGAUAGAGUAUGAGGAUAGUACGAUGAUGACGGUGUCAAAACUAUGCCACCACUGCUCUGAGCCUUUUCACUUUCUGUCUUCUUCUGGAAAGACUAAGGGCUGAAACAGAACAAAUAGGUUUUCCUUUUAAAGUAAGUUUAAAAUCACAUUGGAUAACUAAUUAGGAGUAUUAAUUUAUUUGAUUUUGGAAUUUAUAGAACAAUAUUUUUACUUAUAUAAAAUUUAAUAUAAACAUAUAGGGGUCGCUUGGUUACCGGACAGGGAGAAUAUAAAACUAUGCAUAUAAUUUAUGUUACAUUGUUUGGUGAAUCCGACAUAGUUUUGGUUACCGGACAGGGAGAAUAUAAAACUAUGCGUAUAAAAAAUUCUAUGAAAUAAUGAGAAAUUUUUUAUUUUAUUUUAUGUGGGAUAGAAUAUGAAAUAAAAAUGUGGAUAUGAAAUAAUACGUGAAUUAAACUAACAAAUAACAAAAAUAUCCCUUUAUGCUAGUUCUACAACUAGAUUCUUUUUCUAUUGUUUUUUAUUUUCUACUACUACUACUAGCUAUUUGCUUGUUUGCUUAAUGUUUUUUUCUUUUGUAAACCAAUAAUUUUUAACUAAAAAACAUAUUAUAUAAUGUGGGACUAAUUUUAAUAUAAUAAACCAAGCAUUCAAAAAGAACUAACUCAUAUAUAACUAAUAUCUCAUAAAUUCAAUCCUUGCAUAAUUAAUACACGCAUACUUGCAUCACUUAAUCCCUACAUAAUUAAUAUUUGCAUAACUUAAUCCUUACAUAACUUAUCUUUGGAAUAAACGAUCCCAUAAAGUAUUAAGUACUAAUGUUGCAUUUUUACAUUCUUGUCAGGUGAGGGUGCCCCUUGGUAAGAUUAAUAAGGAAAGAUUGUUGCUCUUUCUUAUUUUUAUUUUUACUAUUUCGAUUCGAGGUUUUAUUAUGUAAGCCAGUAUACAUAUAUUCAUG
rnacentral:lncRNA from 1 species